UACGGAGGAUGCAAGCGUUAUCCGGAAUGAUUGGGCGUAAAGCGUCCGCAGGUGGCAAUGUAAGUCUGCUGUCAAAGCGUCUGGCUCAACCAGAUAAAGGCAGUGGAAACUACAUAGCUAGAGUAAGGUAGGGGUAGAGGGAAUUCCAGGUGUAGCGGUGAAAUGCGUAGAUAUCUGGAGGAAUACCGGUGGCGAAGGCGGCAUCCUGGACCGACAUUGACGCUGAUGAGCGAAAGCUAGGGGAGCAAACGGG
rnacentral:rRNA from 1 species